ensembl:snRNA U4 U4 spliceosomal RNA
AGCUUUGUGCUUUGGCAGUAUCAUAGCCAAUAAAUUUUAUCCGAGGUGCGAUUAUUGCUAAUUGAAACAGACAAGUGCUCCAAAUUUGCCAACCUUUUCUGUGAUGACAAGUAGCUGACAAUAGUAUGUUAUCCAACAGGUAUUCUGAAAAUAUUUUUCAGAUAAUG